AUGCUAAAUCCAUGUUUAGCCAAGCAAAUAUAUGAAGCCAUUUAUCACCUCAUCCCUGAAGAGGAACGAUUGAAGGAACUUUUUUUGGGAUGGACAGUACUGGAUGCCGAAGAAAAAGAAAUGAUCGAUGACCUUAUUAUCCAGUCAGACAAGUUACAAUUUUACAAACCUCUGAUGGAUGCACUGCGACAGUGGGAGCUUGUGCAAGACACCCAAGGUGCUCCAGGUUGCAGGCGUGGCUUGGUUUCAUUCCCUUGUGACCCGCAAGUUAAAAAAGAACUUACUCGGGUCAUUUUCACUUUGGAAAACAUUCUAGAGAAAAUCCAUCAAGAAACAGAGCUGUCGUUUCGUCAGAAAAUGUAUGCUGUUCCUCUUCUGUUGCCAACGAUUCUGACAUCAUGACCCCUGAAAGAACUCAAAGUGACGGAGUUAUAGUGGAAGAAAUUCACCACCAGCUCAUUAGCUGCCACAAUAGGGCUAUGUUGCGAUCUUUUCUUUGGAUGGUCUAUGUUCUUAUAAACGCUAAAUGUCACGAUGAAAUCUGAAACUUCAUGCCCAUGAUCUAAGCAUUCUGAGAGUCGCAUCUCAAAGUUGGAUUCUUAAGUGAACUAGUUGAAAUCAGUAUGAUAUAUUGUGGUCAAAUAGAUAGAGAUAAGACUAGACAAAUCUGAAAAGAAAUCAGG
rnacentral:lncRNA from 1 species